AUGAAAUCAAGUAGAGAUGCAGUAGAGAUAUAUGGGGUAGCAUGGCUGAAUUGAUGGGGAGCAGCCUGGGAGGUCAAAGCUAGAGUCCGGGGUCCUUUUAAUGUGCGGAGAUUGGCUCUAGCAUCAACAAUUGCACGAUGCUAGUGAGUGGUUUUGUUCGGGAGAUAUCUCCGGGGGGCCGGUGGUUCUUGCACCGGGUGGUCAUUUGGAGGGUGCUCUUUUCCCUGUCUCGUGGGGGUCUCCGUGGCUUUUGCUGUGACUGCAUGCUUCUCUUUUUCUACAUUUUUGAUUGCUUGCGCUUUGCACCAGUUCACUUGUGUGUCGUGCUCGUGGGCGCUUCUCGCCGGGGC
rnacentral:lncRNA from 1 species